AAACCAUGUUGCGGGUAUGCAUUGACAAGAUCCUUGAACCGCUCCCAACAUUGGAGGAAUGUUUUAUCUUACUUUUGGACAAAGUUUAUGAUUGAUUUUCUAAGGGU